GUUUAUCCCAGCAUACAUGCUGUGGCGGUGAAAAGUUCCAGUGAACUGGUCGUGCAAAGUGCUAGAGAUAGACGCAUGAUGAUAAAAAGUAUGCAGCAAGGAAAGGCAUCUUGAAAGUAUGAAGUCGUCACUGAACUAUUAACAUCACUGAAUGUCUAUAAAAGAGGAAGUAUUGUUUCAUUGUCAUUGUUUCCACUUUUUGACAUAAUUUUUCUGGUUGGAUGUUCUGUUACAUACAGAAAUUAGGAAAGUGCUUUCCAAAAUUGCCAAAGAGAAGGACUGCGAGGCAUUACACGAUUGGAUCAGGCCAAUUGAUAAUCACCUGCAUUGGAGUGCCACCUCAACAUUUGAUGGGAAUGGCCUUGUUAUAUUGGCCAAAUUCAAGUCAUUCCUACAACAUAUUGUAAACAUACACUCAUGUCACAGUAACCCGUUGUUUGCAAAAUGUGCCCAUGGUAGUAGCAUUCCAGAUAGAAAGUGGCUGACCGUUGAUUCACCCCUUCAUAAAAAGAUUUGCAAUGCUUUGACAAACAAACGACUGGUAGAUGGGAUCAAACAAGCUUCUCCAUUAGAACAAACUAGCUGUUUGGAGGGCUUUCACAGUGUUUUAAAUCAUUUUGCCCCCAAAAUGAUUGCAUACUGUUAUGCUGGACAGUAUUGCAGGCAUAUUUUAGCUGUUGUGCACUUUAACAACAACCUCAGGAGAGAAAUCAAAACAAAUCCUGACCAAUCAGAAAGAGUCAAAA